UGAGUGCGAGCUGCUACGGCAGCGAAGUAGGUGAUGUCAUGCUUCCAAGAAAAGCCCUAUACCCGUUAAGGCAUCAUGGCCUGUACCCGAAACCGACACAGGUGGGGUGGUAGAGAAUACCGAGGGGCGCGAGGUAACUCUCUCUAAGGAACUCGGCAAAAUGGCCCCGUAACUUCGGGAGAAGGGGUGCCACCGCAAGGUGGUCGCAGUGAAGAGGCCCAGGCGACUGUUUACCAAAAACACAGGUCUCCGCUAAGUCGCAAGACGAUGUAUGGGGGCUGACGCCCGCCCAGUGCCGGAAGGUUAAGGAAGCUGGUCAGCGCAAGCGAAGCUAGCGACUGAAGCCCCGGUGAACGGCGGCCGUAACUAUAACGGUCCUAAGGUAGCGAAAUUCCUUGUCGGGUAAGUUCCGACCCGCACGAAAGGCGUAACGAUCUGGGCGCUGUCUCGGAGAGAGGCUCGGCGAAAUAGAAUUGUCUGUGAAGAUGCGGACUACGUGCACCCGGACAGAAAGACCCUAUGAAGCUUUACUGUAGCUUGGUAUUGUGCCCGGGCUCGCAAUGCGCAGGAUAGGUGGGAGGCUUUGAUCAUCGGCUUGCGGGUCGAUGUGAGCCAACGGUGAGAUACCACUCUUUGCGAGCUAGGGUUCUAACGGCCACCCGUCAUCCGGGGGCCGGACAGUACCUGGUGGGCAGUUUGACUGGGGCGGUCGCCUCCUAAAAGGUAACGGAGGCGCGCAAAGGUUUGCUCAGGCUGGUUGGUAAUCAGCCGACGAGUGUAAAAGCAGAAGCAAGCUUGACUGUGAGACCAACAAGUCGAACAGGGAGGAAACUCGGCUUUAGUGAUCCGACGGUUCUGAGUGGAAGGGCCGUCGCUCAACGGAUAAAAGUUACUCUAGGGAUAACAGGCUGAUCUCCCCCAAGAGUUCACAUCGACGGGGAGGUUUGGCACCUCGAUGUCGGCUCAUCGCAACCUGGGGCUGAAGUCGGUCCCAAGGGUUGGGCUGUUCGCCCAUUAAAGCGGUACGCGAGCUGGGUUCAGAACGUCGUGAGACAGUUCGGUCCAUAUCCGGUGCACGCGCAGGAAUAUUGAGAGGAUUUCUCCCUAGUACGAGAGGACCGGGAGGAACGCACCUCUGGUGUACCAGUUAUCGUGCCAACGGUAAACGCUGGGUAGCCAUGUGCGGAGUGGAUAACCGCUGAAAGCAUCUAAGUGGGAAGCCCACCUCAAGAUGAGUAUUCCCAUGGCGUAAGCCAGUAAGGUCACGGGAAGAGCACCCGUUGAUAGGCUCUAUGUGGAAGCGCAGUAAUGCGUGAAGCAGAGGAGUACUAAUAGACCGAGGGC
rnacentral:rRNA from 1 species